AUAUCCCUCAAGCUUGGCUUGGUGCUGGGCCUACCAUCUGCAGGAUGGAGGCCUGAAAGGCAGUGGCGGCGUCAGUUUCUGGUCCCUGAAGCUUAUGGGCUUUACCACACCUGCUUUGGGGGACCGGCUGAUUGCUUUUAGCCUAUCCUAUUUGUGUUACACACUCU
rnacentral:misc_RNA from 1 species